rnacentral:rRNA from 1 species
UCCUACGGGAGGCAGCAGUGAGGAAUAUUGGUCAAUGGGCGGAAGCCUGAACCAGCCAAGUCGCGUGAGGGAAGAAGGCCCUGCGGGUCGCAGACCUCUUUGGACGGGGAGCAAGGCCGCCGACGUGUCGGCGGAAGGAGAGUACCCGUAGAAAAAGCAUCGGCUAACUCCGUGCCAGCAGCCGCGGUAAUACGGAGGAUGCGAGCGUUAUCCGGAUUUAUUGGGUUUAAAGGGUGCGUAGGCGGAAGGUUAAGUCAGCGGUCAAAUGUCGGUGCUCAACACCGGCCUGCCGUUGAAACUGGUCU